GACGAAGGUGGCAAGCGUUAUUCGGAUUUACUGGGCAUAAAGCGCGCGUAGGCGGCUUGGCAAGUCGGGGGUGAAAGCCCGCAGCUCAACUGCGGAACUGCCUUCGAUACUGCCGGGCUUGAGGGCGGGAGGGGUGAUUGGAACUCCAGGUGUAGCGGUGAAAUGCGCAGAUAUCAGGAAGAACACCUAUGGCGAAAGCAGCUCUCUGGGACGGUACUGACGCUGAGACGCGAAAGCGUGGGGAGCGAACAGG
rnacentral:rRNA from 1 species